rnacentral:sRNA from 1 species
AAGUAAAAUUAAUUAUUUUGGAGAAAAGAUUUAAUGCUAAUGGCAUUGAGUUGUAAAUAAGUCCAAAUUCAGGAUUUAUUUGUUAAAAUGGCUGCAAAAAUGUAUAUGUAGAUUUUUUGAAAGAAGUGAUUGAAAGAAUAUUUGCUGCAAUGAAAGACUACCAAAUCGACAAUAAGAACAGGUAGCAUUAGGCAUGAUUCAUCAGGAGCAAA